AGCUCCAAUAGCGUAUAUUAAAGUUGUUGCGGUUAAAAAGCUCGUAGUUGGAUUCCUGUAUGGAAGGGGCGUCCCCACCCUUUGGAUGGGGGUUGCUGCCUUCUUUGCAUCUUCCGGAGUAGAUGUUCCUCACUUAACUGUGAGGACAUCGUGCUCGGGUCAUUUACUUUGAGGAAAAGAGAGUGCUCCAAGCAGGCAAACGCCUGAAUACGUUAGCAUGGAAUAAUAGCAUCGGAUCAUCGUUCAGCUGUUGGUGUCUGGACGAGGAUAAAGGUGAACAGGGAUUGUUGGGGGCAUUCGUAUUUAACUGUCAGAGGUGAAAUUCUUGGAUUUGUUGAAGACGAGCUACUGCGAAAGCAUUUGCCAAAGAUGUUC
rnacentral:rRNA from 1 species